CUUGAACUCUUGAGCUUAAAAGGUUCUUCUGCCUCAGCCUCUCAAAUAGCUGGGACUACAAGUAUCGUUCCACCUUGCCUAACUAAAAAUCUUAAUGCCCGAGCUUCACCCCAGGCUAUUUAAAUCAGAAUUUCUUUAGGUUGGCCCAGGAAUAAGACAUUUUAAAGUUUCAUAGGCAAUUCCAAUGUGCAGUCAAGACUGGAGAUUGUUGGUGUAGAGGUAUGGCAGUGGAGCUGCAUCGGGUAGAUUAACCUAAAAUAUAUCUUACAGGUUCAACAGACAGGAGUUGCUGAUAGAUUGAAUUUCAGUGGGAAGUGGUAAGAAAAGGACUCAGUUUUUUGGCUUUCAUAAUUGAAUUGUCGUUUACCAAGACAGAAAAGACUGAACAUUGAGAAAGAAAAUCAAGAGUUCUGUUUUGAGUAUGUUGAGUUUGAGAUGCCAAUAAAUCAUUCAGGUGAAGAAUGACUCCAUUUAAGUGGAGAAUCCAGCUAUGAUUGAGCCUGGAGCUCAGAGGAAAGAUCUCUGUUAGAGAUGAAACUGAGUUGAUGGCAUAAAGUAGGACUUAAAGUUAAGAACCAAUUGAGUUCAUGUUGGGAGACCAUAAAUAAAGAGAAAGAGCCUUUGGCUGAGGCUUGAGGAACUCCAGGGGAGGAUUAUGAUGAGGGAGAAAGAACCUGCAAAAGAGACUGCAAAGCAGCCAGUGAGGUAAGCUAUUGUGAUGUUCCUGAAGCCAAAAGAGAGGUAGUGUCUCUAGAAGAAAGCUGCAGCUAGCUGGGUUGAAAAUGACAGCUGUCAAGUACAGUGAGGUCAGAAAAGUAUUGAAUUUAGCAAGAUUAUUGCUGUUGAUGCGCUUGAUCAUUUGAAGUGAUGGAGGUGGAAGUCAGAUUGGAGUAAUCUGAGAAAAGUAAUGUCAGAGAAAACAUUUAAAAGGAAGCGUAAAUGGGAGGUGAGGAAAGUACAUAUUGCCAACGUUUUUGAGAUUAGGGGGUUCUGUUUGUUUGUUGUGAAUGUAGCAGGAAAAAAAAUGGAGCUAAUAGGCAGAAGGGAAGGUAGAGCCAAGAAUAUGUGGGUUAUUUUUGUGUGUUUUGGUUUCAUUUUCUAAGCUAUUGAUGGGAAUGUUUCAGUCGAGAGACUAGGAGUGGUGUGAAGUUCUCGAGAAGGUAAGAGGGGAUAAGAUUCCUAUCAAAAAAUGGGGUGGCUUUGAAGAGAACAGGAAUACUUCCAUUUUAGAAAAGAUGUGUGUAGGUGCAGACAGAUUUGGGGGAGAAAAUGAAAAGUAGGAAGAAGGAGCCAGAGUCUUGGAGUGAACAAAUGGAGUGAAAGACAUGAGGAUAAACUCAGUAGGCCAUUCUUUUGACCAUAUAUAAUUCUGCCAUUAUCUGAUUUAUAUCUGACUUUGACUCAUUUCCUCUCUCUUCCUUGCUUGAUUUCAGAUGUACUCUGUUUUGGAGGGGAUAUCCUAAAUAUCACAGGGAACAUGCUUCUGGCACUCUGGAGAGUGGAACAAAACCAGCUGAGUGACAUCAUUACCUUGGUGGCAAAAUGCAGUCUGGAGAUACAGGAGAAAUUUGGGAUCUAUCAUACCAGAGAAGGCCAGGACCUGCAGUUAAAGAUAGGUAGUACCUCCUAAAAGAGUGAUCCAGUUGGCGGGGGGGGCAGAGGGGAGUACUCACUAUAAAAACCUCAAAAGAUAAAUGAUAAACCGGGAAAAAAAUAUUUGCAAUUCAUAUAAACAAAGGGUAAAUUGCGCUACUAGGGAAAGAGCACCUAGAAAUUAAGAAAAGAAUAAUACUGUGUAAGAGAAAAAUGGACAAAGGACAUGAGUAAAUUAUAUAUAGACAAGGAAAUGCAUGUCUUUUAGCAUGUGAAAAGAUGAUCAACAUUCAUAAUAAGAAAAAUGCCAAUUGGAAGUACAUUGACUACCUGUCGUUUACCUAUAGAUAGGCAAAACUUCAGAUGCUGGACAACAUACUCUUAGGUGAGUCUGUGAGGAAUGAGCUUUUUCAUACUGUGAGUGAACAAUGGUAUAAGGGUGAUUUGGCAAUCUUUAUUGUAUUUAUUUUUAUUUUUAUUAUUGUUUAUGUCAACAAAAAAUUAUAUAUAUAUUAAAAAGUCUUGUUUUCACUUACAUACCACCCUUACACUCUUACAAAUGCAUUAUUCCUUAACCUGGCAAUCAUGGACAUUUAUCCUAUAGGUAUACUUGCACACAUCUGAAAUCUUGCAUGCGCAAGGUUAUUGAUUGUAAUAUGGUUUGUAAUUUUUAAAAAAUUGAAAACAAUUUAUCUGUAGGAAACUGGUUAAGUAAAAAAUAUGUAUACUCAAUAAGAUUAUCUGCAACUUUUAAAAAAUAAGAUGUCUUGAUAUGGCAGUAUCUCCAAAAUAUAGUAAGUGAAAAAAGUAAGAUGCAAAACAGCAUGUUUAGUAUUCUAUCAUUUGUGUAUGGAGGAAAAAUAAGAAUUUUUAAAAUUUGUUUAUAUCUGUAUAAAGAAACAGUGGAAAAAUAUAUAAAAAACUAAUAAAUUACUAAUAUCAGGAAAAUAGUAAAGAUGUGCAUGUAGGUAGAAGCCAGAUUUUAAAAUAUACUUUAAUAUAGUUUACUUUUUGAACUAUGUUAUUGCUUGACAUAAUCAAAAAUAUGAUACAAUAUAAUAAAAAUUUAAAAGCUGCAUACAGAGGCCAAAGUUUCACCAAUGGCAGAGUCAGGAUUGGAGGGGAAACACAAUACACAAAGCUCCUUCACAAGUGUUCAGAAACGUCUUUUAAGGGCAAAAGUUGGCUCCAGAAAUUAUGUUUUGAGGAGCAGUGGUAAAGAAUUAUAUUCUAUGUUAUAUGGUAUCUCUUUUGUCCUACCAUCUUUUUUGUCUCUUUUGGUUUUUGUUUUAUUAAGGAUAAUUGAUACUAUACAUUGGCAUAUUUAUACACUUUUGAAACCAUCACCACAAUAAAGAUAGUGAACAUAUUUGUCACUCAAAAA